rnacentral:rRNA from 1 species
AAAUUGAAGAGUUUGAUCAUGGCUCAGAUUGAACGCUGGCGGCAGGCCUAACACAUGCAAGUCGAACGGUAACAGGAAGCAGCUUGCUGUUUUGCUGACGAGUGGCGGACGGGUGAGUAAUGUCUGGGAAACUGCCUGAUGGAGGGGGAUAACUACUGGAAACGGUGGCUAAUACCGCAUAACGUCGCAAGACCAAAGAGGGGGACCUUCGGGCCUCUUGCCAUCAGAUGUGCCCAGAUGGGAUUAGCUUGUUGGUGAGGUAACGGCUCACCAAGGCGACGAUCCCUAGCUGGUCUGAGAGGAUGACCAGCCACACUGGAACUGAGACACGGUCCAGACUCCUACGGGAGGCAGCAGUGGGGAAUAUUGCACAAUGGGCGCAAGCCUGAUGCAGCCAUGCCGCGUGUAUGAAGAAGGCCUUCGGGUUGUAAAGUACUUUCAGCGGGGAGGAAGGUGUUGUGGUUAAUAACCACAGCAAUUGACGUUACCCGCAGAAGAAGCACCGGCUAACUCCGUGCCAGCAGCCGCGGUAAUACGGAGGGUGCAAGCGUUAAUCGGAAUUACUGGGCGUAAAGCGCACGCAGGCGGUCUGUCAAGUCGGAUGUGAAAUCCCCGGGCUCAACCUGGGAACUGCAUUCGAAACUGGCAGGCUUGAGUCUUGUAGAGGGGGGUAGAAUUCCAGGUGUAGCGGUGAAAUGCGUAGAGAUCUGGAGGAAUACCGGUGGCGAAGGCGGCCCCCUGGACAAAGACUGACGCUCAGGUGCGAAAGCGUGGGGAGCAAACAGGAUUAGAUACCCUGGUAGUCCACGCCGUAAACGAUGUCUACUUGGAGGUUGUGCCCUUGAGGCGUGGCUUCCGGAGCUAACGCGUUAAGUAGACCGCCUGGGGAGUACGGCCGCAAGGUUAAAACUCAAAUGAAUUGACGGGGGCCCGCACAAGCGGUGGAGCAUGUGGUUUAAUUCGAUGCAACGCGAAGAACC